UAUUGCAUUUCCACCUCCCUUGACACAUAACCUCCCCUUGCCUCUAAAUCAACCAGCAAGGCCCUUUAUUAAUAGCCUGUCAGCGGAGUUAACAUUUAUUUCAUGUGUAUUCAUAUGAGCAGGUUUUACAAAUGGCCCAGUGCUUGUGAACCUGCUCUUGAAAAAUUAGCCUUGUUUUUUCAGCCCUCUCCUCAUGAAUUUCAAUGACUAAGUGAAGGCACUGCUAUGUGUCUACCUAAAUGCUGCUCUCAGCCUGGGGGUAAAAAAUGGAGAGGGGCUAAAUUUAGAUUGCUCAGAAAAAUCUCAGCAUUUGGCUAUCAUACUAUGAUGAGGCCGCUGUGAUAGUUAUUGAUGCUUAGAUGAAGAAACUCACUAAAGUUUAUGUGAAAAUGCAGAUGGAGAAAGGACUAAUGGGGAAAACAGGAUACUUAAAGGGAUAUUCCAGCGUAAAAUUAAGUUAGGGUCAAACACACCCAAACACUAAGUUAGACACACUGUCGAGAGAUGAAUGUUGCCGACCGCUUGCUUCUCUAGUUAUACCAACCCUAGGAACGACCACAGGAUAGCAAUACACAGCGGUCUAAGGAGCCACGCGCUCAACCAAAAAGCCACUCUAUAGCCACAAAUAAUGCUCAGAACAGCACCUAACUUCAUCAACAGUACAAAUAGGGUCCCAGGCACAGCACUAGCCACCAAACAUCUUUUUAACUUUGCCUGAUUACUUUAGCAAAGAGACUAAACACAACUCACCUACUCUCUUCCAGCAGCCGCCCGUUUGUAGCGAGACCUCAGGCCAGUCCAUUACGGACUACAGCGGAGGGACGCAGCUCAAGGAAGAACAUUUAUGAUCAUUUCUUCAUGGAAAUGUAAUCAGACCGAGACGCUAAGGCAGAAGAAUUACCGCGUCUGCAGUGCAAAAUGAUUAAUAUGAUGAUUAUUACUUCAAGGAAAUGAUUAAGUGAUGUAAUGUGCUGUUCUAAGCAUUAUUUGUAGCUAUAGAGUGGCUUUUUGGUUGAGGUUUGUUUAUGGCUCCUCAGACCGCUGUGUAUUGCUAUCCUGCGGUUGUUACUAAAGUUGGUAUAACUACAGAAGCAAGCGGUCUGCAACAUUCAUCUCUCGACAGUGUGUCUAACUCUGUGUUACAGUGUGUUUCAUCCUAACUUAAUUUUACGCCGGAAUAUCCCUCUGAAAUGAUUAUUUUCUUUUUACAUUUACUGGGGAACUUUCAACAUUUUGUGUGUGACAUAUAUGUAAACAAACUUAUUACUUUGAGCUGCGCUGUCAUCUCUUAAAUCGAUUGCAGGCCACUGAAUGUAACUGACUAGAAUCAGAAUCCUACGGCAAAACCUUCUGUGAUAUCAGCGAAAAUAGUACUGUUGUCCAAAUAAGCCUUUUAUUAUGUUUUUUUUUUAUCUACAAAACCUGUUGUGUACACCCUAUUCUAUUCUGACUGACCACCCAAAACAGAAGUUUCAAAUCUGAGGUGUAAAAAGUAAGUCACAAAGGAGAACCAGUGAUACCAUAAAAGAUGUCAUCAAAAGAUAUCUAGUGCAGAUUUCCCUAUAAAUAAGAAAAACAGAGAGCAUCUCUACAGAAUAUUUGGGAGCCCAUUAUUUCAUUUUGUGAAUGCCAAGUGUUUUCUCGGCAUUGGCAGCUACAGAAGGAAACCUGGUGUGCUGACACAAAUUGAUUACUGGGUCGGACAGACAAUCUAUUCCUUCCUCUAAACUGAUAGCAAAGACUGGCAGGAUGAGAAAGGUCGGCUGUACGUAGACAACAAAGAAAAAAAGGAGAGCUAGAGGGAGAGAGAGAUAAUAGGAUGGGAAAACAGAGAGGGAAGAGCAGGAUUUGCAAAGUUUUGCAACAACUUCCCAUUUUCUAAGACAAACAUGCCAAUGGAGGGCUUUUGCAUUGCAGAUCUAUCCAGCGAUAGUGCUGUGCCUGACAGAAUUUUAAUCAUACGCGUUUCCUACCUUUUCUGUUUAUAAAACUGCUGGUAGCUAAAAACAAGCUCUGUGUAUUAACUUCAGGGGGAAAGCCUUUAUAUUUAUAUAUAUUCAUAUAUUUGUUCUUUUUCAAACUUGACAUGAUGUGGACGAUAGUUUCUUUGAAUACAAAGACAAUCAAUUGAUAAAAUGAGUGAGUAAUGAAUGCAAGUUUUCUUACAUGUAUACAGCAUUGCUCAGCCAAACACUCAAAACUGAGUGUUUAACAAGUCACCGUCUUGUUAAUGUUAAUAUCUGAUUUUAGGUUGUCAUCAUCUCAUCUUCAAGGGUUAGGACCAAACUUUGAAGACAGCAGUACGAGAGGUUAAUAUUCAAUAUGAGACCUCGCUCCUAAAUGAAGACAUUAACAACAGAGAGAGACGUAUCUUAGGACCUCUUUCUCUCAUUAGAGGAGCCUAGCAGUGUGUUGGGGGUUAUCGGAGCAGAGGCAGAGAGAGACAAAUGAUCAUCUAAAUCAAUGAUAAUGUCAAACCGGUCGAUUGUUUUUUUUAUCCAGACCUAUUUAUCAAGGAAUCUUCAGUGUUAUUUACCUUUGUUUCUAAUAUCAAAGGGAAGCUUCUGUCAUCUUUUUACGACAGUGACUGCAGACCCUGACCGCUUUGUUUCAGCUUCUGUUUCCUAAGCCACCACCAUCCCUCCAAACAUGAGCUUAACAUACUGCAGUUUAACAUCAUUGUUGUCGGUGAAUUAAGCCUGAAAUUGCUUUCUUUAAACAGCUGAGCCUCUUCAGCUAGCUCCGUCCAUAAUACAUUUAAGUCUUUCUCCAGUAAAAUGCACAGAGCUGCCAGGGCUAAUGGCAUAGUCCACACACAUGAUUGUUGUAAACACAGAGGAGCAUAGACCUGAGCUGGUUAGACCUGCACAAGGUAAGCAUUCGGGAUCAGACCUUUGUCACCAAUACUGAUUCAGCUUUAUGGGUCAGUAUCUGGCCAAUACCCAAUACCAGGAUCAGUGCAUCCCUGAAAUUUGGUGUGCUAUUUGUUCAUUUUAGUUCACCAUGGUAAUGCUGCAGCAGCAUAUUCCUGCUUUCUGCUGCUGCCAUAAUGAAAAUAACUCCACUGCUAAGCUUUCGACCGGCACACUCAACCUUAAGUAAUCUGCACUUAGUGACAAACAGAAUCAAAACAUCCACAAAGUGCUUCAAGUUUGAGCUUGUACCUACCAGCUUGGCAUGCAGGUGCAUUUAACUGGACUGAUGUCAGCUGGCAACCACACCACAUAAACUGGAGGAGCUGAUUUUGGUGUGUGAAUCACCGCAGCUCUGUGGUUGAAACUAAAAUCAAGACAUUAACUACAACACUUGACAAACUGGUGGCAACUGUCUGCAGGCUUGUUAAUGUCAUGGAAGACUCCAGUUGAAGUGACGACUGAGAGAGGUCUGCAUGUUGACCCCAGUCAGAUGUCUCACUUUACUGGCAACAUAGUUUGAUGUAAAGUUAAACGCCAUUUCUCUUUUUGAACAUAAUUUUACAAUUGGGUCUGCAAAAAGAUGAUCCUUUACUUAACUAUUACAUUUUUCACAUUUCAUAGUUUUGUUGAGCCCAAGCUGCAAUAAGAAGUCAAGCCAGUGUGGAAGUUUAAAAAAUAAAAAUCUGAGUGUUGAGUCCCAAAAGCCGCUGAAACCCAAGUCCAACCAGU
rnacentral:lncRNA from 1 species